rnacentral:tRNA from 1 species
GGCGGGAUAGCUCAGUUGGUUAGAGCGGUUGAAUCAUAAUCAAUAGGUCGGGGGUUCAAGUCCCUCUCCCGCUACCA